rnacentral:tRNA from 1 species
GGGGACGUAGCUCAGUUGGGAGAGCAUCUGCCUUGCAAGCAGGAGGUCGAGAGUUCAAGUCUCUUCGUCUCCACCA